rnacentral:rRNA from 1 species
AGAGUUUGAUCAUGGCUCAGAUUGAACGCUGGCGGCAGGCCUAACACAUGCAAGUCGAACGGUAGCACAGAGAGCUUGCUCUCGGGUGACGAGUGGCGGACGGGUGAGUAAUGUCUGGGAAACUGCCUGAUGGAGGGGGAUAACUACUGGAAACGGUAGCUAAUACCGCAUAACGUCGCAAGACCAAAGAGGGGGACCUUCGGGCCUCUUGCCAUCAGAUGUGCCCAGAUGGGAUUAGCUAGUAGGUGGGGUAACGGCUCACCUAGGCGACGAUCCCUAGCUGGUCUGAGAGGAUGACCAGCCACACUGGAACUGAGACACGGUCCAGACUCCUACGGGAGGCAGCAGUGGGGAAUAUUGCACAAUGGGCGCAAGCCUGAUGCAGCCAUGCCGCGUGUAUGAAGAAGGCCUUCGGGUUGUAAAGACUUUCAGCGGGGAGGAAGGUGUUGUGGUUAAUAACCACAGCAAUUGACGUUACCCGCAGAAGAAGCACCGGCUAACUCCGUGCCAGCAGCCGCGGUAAUACGGAGGGUGCAAGCGUUAAUCGGAAUUACUGGGCGUAAAGCGCACGCAGGCGGUCUGUCAAGUCGGAUGUGAAAUCCCCGGGCUCAACCUGGGAACUGCAUUCGAAACUGGCAGGCUGGAGUCUUGUAGAGGGGGGUAGAAUUCCAGGUGUAGCGGUGAAAUGCGU